UACGUAGGGCGCAAGCGUUAUCCGGUAUUAUUGGGCGUAAAGAGCUCGUAGGCGGUUUGUCGCGUCUGCCGUGAAAGUCCGGAGCUCAACUCCGGAUCUGCGGUGGGUACGGGCAGACUAGAGUGAUGUAGGGGAGACUGGAAUUCCUGGUGUAGCGGUGAAAUGCGCAGAUAUCAGGAGGAACACCGAUGGCGAAGGCAGGUCUCUGGGCAUUAACUGACGCUGAGGAGCGAAAGCAUGGGGAGCGAACAGG
rnacentral:rRNA from 1 species